rnacentral:rRNA from 1 species
UACGUAGGUGGCAAGCGUUAUCCGGAUUUAUUGGGCGUAAAGGGAACGCAGGCGGUCUUUUAAGUCUGAUGUGAAAGCCUUCGGCUUAACCGGAGUAGUGCAUUGGAAACUGGGAGACUUGAGUGCAGAAGAGGAGAGUGGAACUCCAUGUGUAGCGGUGAAAUGCGUAGAUAUAUGGAAGAACACCAGUGGCGAAAGCGGCUCUCUGGCCUGUAACUGACACUGAGGCGCGAAAGCGUGGGGAGCAAACAGG